rnacentral:rRNA from 1 species
ACUCCUACGGGAGGCAGCAGUGGGGAAUAUUGCACAAUGGGCGCAAGCCUGAUGCAGCCAUGCCGCGUGUAUGAAGAAGGCCUUCGGGUUGUAAAGUACUUUCAGCAGUGAGGAAGGUGGGGUAUGUAGUAGUANAUACACAUUUUGACGUUAGCUGCAGAAGAAGCACCGGCUAACUCCGUGCCAGCAGCCGCGGUAAUACGGAGGGUGCGAGCGUUAAUCGGAAUUACUGGGCGUAAAGCGCAUGCAGGUGGUUUGUUAAGUCAGAUGUGAAAGCCCGGGGCCAACCUCGGAA